rnacentral:rRNA from 1 species
UACGUAGGGUGCAAGCGUUAAUCGGAAUUACUGGGCGUAAAGCGUGCGCAGACGGUUCUAUAAGACAGAUGUGAAAUCCCCGGGCUCAACCUGGGAACUGCAUUUGUGACUGUAGAGCUGGAGUGCGGCAGAGGGGGAUGGAAUUCCGCGUGUAGCAGUGAAAUGCGUAGAUAUGCGGAGGAACACCGAUGGCGAAGGCAAUCCCCUGGGCCUGCACUGACGCUCAUGCACGAAAGCGUGGGGAGCAAACAGG